GGGCCCGUAGUCUAUCGGUAGAACACCUCCAUGGCAUGGAGGAGGGAGGGGUUCGAUUCCCCUCGGGUCCA
rnacentral:tRNA from 1 species